CGCAGUUCUCAUGCUGCAGCGUUCAGUUGACGCCGGACCGGCGCGAAAGUAUUGCGAGAGGUCGUGUAGUUUGUACGCGUAAUUGGUAAUCUUACGCGUGUGCUACGUUGAGUGACUUCUCCAUAAUCUGACAAUUGUGACGACGCGAACGAUCCAGACGAACUUUACAGUGUCACAGAAUUCGACGGAUUAACUUGUGCAUCUUCGCAGUAGAUUCUGGCGCAUGCGGCUUUAUUUACGCGAUUCGACUGUCACCCAGAAGACUCGGCGCACUAUAUGUUGCAGCGUGAAUCUUCGAAAUUGGUGACGAUACCAAAGAGUACAAAAUAGCAUGCCAAAUCAAAGCAAGACAUCGUCAAGCUGCAUCUUCUUAUUAUGCUGCAUCUUUUUAACGAGUUCGAUAUGGGUUGCUGUCGGAAAUCCCAUCUGGCACAAAACGAAACGAGAAGCAGAGAUAGCGUCGACCAACUGGACCGCGUUGGCCGACGAAUGGGUCACGAAGGCGAAGGCCAGGGCCAACGAUCGAAUGGACAUCGCUCUGCUGCCGUUCAACGACAAAUUCCGGAAAUUGCCGCCAACGGCGGAGACUUUCAUCGUUAACGGCACAAGUGCGGAACAAAUGGCACGGUUAAAUUACUCGCGGAUGCUGUGGGACAUGGAAACAGUCCAGCCGACUGGCCAUCUGUCCGGAUUCGUGGACAAAGCUCUUAAGCUGCUGGACCUGCGGCAGGUGAUGAUGGAAGUGGAGACCUCCGUGAUGUCCAAGGUCUCGUGCACCGCUUGCAAAGUCGGUGCUGGCUUGCUGCAGCAUUACAUAAAGGCCGGCAAGAGCGACGAGGAGAUCAUGGCCAGUAUAUACCAGUUCUGCGUAUCGCUCAACAUACAAAGCGCCCGCGUUUGUCACGGAGUCACUUUGCUCUUCGGGGGAGAAGUAAUUUACGUGCUGAAGAAGGUAAACAUGGGUCCAGCGCAGAUCUGCAGCUUCGUGAUCGGCGACGCGUGCGACGACGCGUUUAAUCCGCUGCACGAGUGGGAGGUGGCCUUCCCGCCGGUCAAGAAACCUCCGAUCAAGCCGCCAAUACCGCCGCAGGAAGCUGCGCCGACCUUCAAGGUCCUGCACAUCUCCGACACGCACUACGACCCAUACUAUCAAGAGGGCGCAAACGCCGAGUGUAAUGAGCCGCUUUGCUGCCGGCUGACGAACGGUGCCCCGUUGACCGCCUCGGCCGGAGCCGGACGAUGGGGAGAUUACCGCAAGUGUGACACGCCUAAACGCACGAUCGACCACAUGCUCAAGCACAUCGCCGACACACAUUCGGACAUUGAUUAUAUUUUGUGGACGGGCGAUUUGCCGCCUCAUGACGUAUGGAAUCAAACACGUGAAGAAAAUCUAAAAGUGUUGCGUGACACGGUCACGCAGAUGGUGGAGAUGUUCCCCGGCAUACCGAUAUUUCCGGCCUUGGGGAAUCACGAAAGCGCGCCGGUCAACAGUUUUCCGCCACCUUUCGUGCCUGAAGAAAACAGCAUUUCCUGGCUGUAUGACGAUCUGGAUAAGCACUGGCGGCGUUGGUUGCCAGCCGGUGUGUCGCACACCGUUCGUCGCGGCGCCUUCUAUUCGGUCUUGGUUCGGCCAGGUUUCAGAAUACUCUCGGUCAACAUGAAUUACUGUAACAACAAAAACUGGUGGUUGCUGUUGAACAGCACGGAUCCGGUUAGCGAGCUGCAGUGGCUCGUGUACGAGCUGCAGGGUGCCGAGAUAAGCGGCGAGAAGGUGCACAUAAUCGGCCAUAUUCCUCCCGGACACUCGGAUUGUCUUAAGGUGUGGUCGAGGAACUACUACCACAUCAUUAAUCGAUAUGAAUCAACGAUCACGGCCCAGUUCUUCGGACACACGCAUUACGACGAGUUCCAGAUAUUUUAUGAUACAUCAGACCUUGGCAGAGCGCUCAGCAUCGCCUACGUCGGUCCUUCGGUCUCGCCUUACUAUGAUCUCAAUCCGGGCUAUCGCAUAUACUACGUCGAUGGUGACCACGCGAAGACGACAAGAAUGGUCGUCGAUCACGAGAGCUGGGUCAUGAAUCUCAAAGAGGCGAACCUUUACGAUUACCCAAUCUGGCAUAAACUGUACAGCGCGCGACAAGCCUACCAAAUGACGUCGCUCUUGCCGAAGGAUUGGGACUCCUUGAUCGACAAGAUGGCCAACGAGCCAGCUCUCUUCGAUCUCUACUACAAACACUACUAUAAGAAUUCUCCGGUACGACCGGCAUGCAAUGACGAGUGUCGCAAGAGAUUGCUGUGCGAUCUACGCAGCGGAAGAAGCCACGAUCGCAAAGCACUGUGCCAGAGUUUAGAAGCGAGAAUUGAUGUAGAAACGAGAACGGGAUGGCGAGCAUGGAUUUACAAAGGACUUGCAUUAUCCAUCACGCAAAAACGAUGUAAAACAAUUAUAGCGAGCAAUUGCACACAUUGUUGCCACUUUUGCAACGCACAAAAAGCUUCUUUUAGGCACGUUAGUCCGAUAAACGCACCGAAAGAAUCGGCUUUAUCUUGCUGGAAGUAGCAAGUAAUUUGUACAUAUUGAAAGAUAGAAUCAAUAAUCUUAUUUUGGUGGCGGAAUAUAACAGGCGGUGGGUGACAUUUCUAUAUCUUCGUAUACUGCACAUUAUAAAUGUCCGUAGUGAUGGCCAUUCCCAGGUUUGCGUACAACCUACCAAAGUACGUCUUAGGAUUGGGUUAAAACGAGGAAGCGGAAGCAG
rnacentral:misc_RNA from 1 species